rnacentral:tRNA from 1 species
UGGGAUGUCGCCAAGUGGUAAGGCAAUGGGCUCUGACCCCAUCAUUCGUUGGUUCGAAUCCAGCCAUCCCAGCCA